rnacentral:misc_RNA from 1 species
GACAGAGGGUGCGAACGUUGCUCGGAAUCACUGGGCGUAAAGCGCGUGUAGGCGGACUGAUAAGUCGGGUGUGAAAUCCCCGGGCUCAACCUGGGAACUGCAUCCGAAACUGCCAGUCUUGAGUGUCGGCGAGGGAAGUGGAAUUGCUGGUGUAGGGGUGAAAUCCGUAGAUAUCAGCAGGAACAUCAGUGGCGAAGGCGGCUUCCUGGACGAUAACUGACGUUGAGACGCGAAAGCGUGGGGAGCAAACAGG